GACGAACGCUGGCGGCGUGCCUAAUACAUGCAAGUCGAGCGGACUGAAUGGGAGCUUGCUCUUGUUCGGUCAGCGGCGGACGGGUGAGUAACACGUGGGCAACCUGCCCGCAAGACCGGGAUAACUCCGGGAAACCGGAGCUAAUACCGGAUAACACCGAAGACCGCAUGGUCUUUGGUUGAAAGGCGGCGCAAGCUGCCACUUGCGGAUGGGCCCGCGGCGCAUUAGCUAGUUGGUGAGGUAACGGCGCACCAAGGCGACGAUGCGUAGCCGGCCUGAGAGGGUGACCGGCCACACUGGGACUGAGACACGGCCCAGACUCCUACGGGAGGCAGCAGUAGGGAAUCUUCCGCAAUGGGCGAAAGCCUGACGGAGCGACGCCGCGUGAGCGAAGAAGGCCUUCGGGUCGUAAAGCUCUGUUGUGAGGGACGAAGGAGCGCCGUUUGAAGAAGGCGGCGCGGUGACGGUACCUCACGAGGAAGCCCCGGCUAACUACGUG
rnacentral:rRNA from 1 species